AUCAGAUGAAUAUUAAACUUUCUCCCCUGUAGGUUGAUGCCUAUUAAUUCUAUAGUUAAUAGUAUACCAUAAAAAUUCACAUACUACACUUUUGUCAAGAACAGUGGGCCAGUAUUUUUUAGGACACACCAUGUGCUAGAUUCGAGCCUUAGUUAGCAACCACAGAAGCCCUUACUGACUAAAACCAGUAACUUGUCAGUCUUAUUUCUUCACAUAGCAAAUUCAAAUUGGCAUAAUUCUACAACUUAAAUGAAGAUAUUUUGGAUAAAAACAAGAACAUUAUUAUUGGUUAUGUCUACAGAAGGAAUCUGUUUGGCAGUGAUUUUCAAUUCCUCUAAAAACAUGAUUUCCCGAAUCCAUAAAAGCCUAUUUUUGGGUAAAUCAUAGGACUUUAACUGCUGAAAAAGUUGGACUUUCAUUUGGGUGUUGUCAGUGUUUAAAUGUCUUUAUGCCAUUCCCCCCACCAUCCAUUUUUUUGAGUCUGAAAGAAUGUAAAAAAAACAGCAGACAGAUGCAGAAAUAAGGGUAUUCCAGGAAAACAGCAGGUGUACAGUUCUGAGGUGGGCCAGCAUGGUGCCUACCAGAAGCUACUUCUGUUGAGAUUCUGAAAGGUAUAAGAAGUUUGAAGGAGAUCUUUAUGUAGCUGAACCAUGGGUAGAACUAGUCCCAGUCUUGUGUUAGGAUCUAUUUCACUGUUUUAAUUAUGCUAACUCUAAGUAAGCUAACAGUAAAAUUAUGAAAAUUAUGAAAACAUACAACAAAAGUAUGAUUUUUCAAGAAUAAGUAAAGACUUUGGUUUUCAGUUUAUGUGAGGAUUGUUAGCUUCCACCCCUGCUUAUAUUGUAGGGCCCUGUAUGUCAAGAGCACUUCCAAGUGUUUAACAUAUCUGUCAACCUCAAGGAGAAGGACCAGUGACCCUUAGCAUAGUACUGGGCACCUACCAUUGUAACACCCAGUUGUAAAUAGUCCACUUCCUGGCAUCCUUGGGGGGGGGUGGUGAAGGAGACAGUAUUUAGGCAGCUUGCACUUUCUUUCAUACUUAUACUACAUCAUAUUAUAUUCUCUUUAACAUAUUUCCCUUUUGAAAAAAAAAAAAAGAUGGGGCACCUGAGUGGCUCAGUUGGUUAAGCAUCGGACUCUUGGUUUCGGCUCAGGCCAUGAUCUCAUGGGUUGUGGAAUCAAGCCCCAAGUUGGGCUCUGAGUUCAGCGGGGAGUCUGAGAUUCUCUCCCUCUGCCCCUCCCCCUGCUUGUGUACGCUCUCUCUCUCAAAUAAAUAAAUAAAUCUUAAAAAAAAACACCCCAUAUUUCCCUUUUGUCUUCUAAUUCUAACCCAGUUUAUUAUCUCAGUAAAAUUAAUCUUUAUCCCCCAUUUCUUUUGUAAUCCCCUAAGAAUGACUAUAAUUACCUCUGACAAGAAGACUAUAUUCAAAUCAGGGAUAAGGAAAUCUAUGUGCUUUGAAGGGAAAAGAAUUUUUAUUUUAUUUUAUUUUUAUUUUAUUAUUGCUUUGAAAGGAAAAGAAAUUUUAAAAAGAAACAAAUGCAUCAGCCUCUGUAGUCCUUGAGAGAACCCAUAAGUCCCACUCAGAUUAUCCAUUAAUUCCCAUAUCCAUUGUCAUUGCUCUCUAAACUGCCUCUAUGCAUCAUCGCAACCUAAAAUGCCAAAUAAACAAAACCCACAAUCAAAUAUUUCUAAUUUUAUGCCUUGGUUUUAUUUAUUAUUAUCCAGGUUUGGAGGUAGAAGACUAUCAAUUAGGCAUAUUGUUUGUAUGAAAAAAUAUGUUCUGACUUUCAGACCACCAACUUGAGAGCCACAGACGGACCUGCAGUUAUGUUAUUUUUGGUCCACAUUGUAUAUUAAACAUUUUUAUUUUUUAUUUUUUUUACAUUUAUUUAUUUAUUGAAGUCAUCUCUACACCCAACGUGGGGCUUGAACUCACGACCCCAAGCUGAAGAGUUGCAUGCUCUUCCAACUGAGCCAGCCAGGUGCCCCUGUAUAUUAAACAUUUUUAAAUUCAUUGCCAACACCUAAAAUUCAGAAUGUUUCACACAACAAUCUGGGCUUCCUGCUUCUCUUGAAAAAUUAGAUCAUCUGGCAAUAGUAGGCCAGAAUUUCCAUAUCACACAAUCACCUAGGGAAAGCAGCAGCUUCAUCCUUAUUCUUUACUCAUUUGCAUUAGCUGCUGUGGCCCCUGAAGACAUGAGUUUAAGGCUUCUACAGUGUUGAGUGUUGCAUAGAAGUUGGCUAACUGAGGAAACCCAGCACAGUCCUAUGUUCUAAUUAGAUACAGGAUCACACUGAGAUAAAAUCAAACAUCCACCUUCCUCACCUUCCCCCAUGGGAACACUAUGUGAACAUUUGUAGUCUAUCCCCAGCAAAGGGUUGGACACUAGACAUGCCGGAGACCAGAAAGAAUUGGAUCCAGCAGAGGAGAAAUAAUACUUAGAAUAACAGAGAGUAGGCCCUGCCUGGGACUCAGAGCUGGAUUGGGGCCCUGGUUCUGGCCCCCAAAUAGAGGGAAAUCAUUCAAUUCAUUCAAAUUCAGUUUAAAUUUUGAUUUGUAAAACAGCAGGGCUGUUACAGGUGUGAGGAGGUUAAAGAAUAAGUUUAACUCUUCUCCAACACUUUGGAUACAUUGUGUUCAAAAUGAAAAUCAAAUUUGAAACUAAAGGGCUGACCAGGAUCUGAUUGCUUCCAGUUAAUAUAAUUUAGCAAUGUCAGAAUAGGUUCACAUUGUUAUUUUACUAUUAUAUUCAUUGUUUAUAUCACAUUAUUAUAUUCUUUAUUGUUAUUUUAAAGGCCAACAAUAUUUUAAAAUAUUUUAGUGUUUGUUUUUUCUUUUUCUUCUUUUUUUCAUUUUCUUUCUCCUUUUCAAUUUCUGCCCCCUCUUAUUUCUCUGAGUCUUGAGACAUUGCAGAGUGGAGAUCUUCCUCAUUAGACUGGACCUCUUCUUCCUCUUCGUCUUCUUGUUCCCACCUUGUCAGGCCCUCAGCCUGUAAGGUCCAUCCCUAUCCCUCCAUCCUCGGUGAGCUCAUGGAUUUUAACAAGUACCAUCUUAAGAGAUGUCAUCGUACUUGUUUACCAGAGUCUGAAACCCUUACUACAUUUGGCCUCUACCUGAUCACGCUGCUCGUGCAGCUCUGAGGGCAAGGACUGGGCCUUUCACAGAGUGAGGCGGGCUCUCACGAAAGGCAUUUUUAGGCUUUGGUGCCCUCUCUGCCCGGGCCUGGGCUCCUCGGCCAAGUGCCCAGCGCGCCGUCAGUCUCCGCUCCUCGCUCCGCCUGCCCGCCUGCGCUCCGUGGCCGCCUGGCGGCGCUCCAGAGCUCCCAGCUCCGUGUCUCGGCCAAGUUGGAGGACGAGAGUUAAAGGUGAAAGGCAGAGCGGGAAGGCUGAGGGCCCCCGGCGGGGAGGGGCCGGCCUUUGUGACCCAGAGGCUGCACCAAACCUCCGCUGCGAGAGAAGCCAGGAGGGAGACGCCUCCCCUGUCUCCUGCCCCCGUCGGCUUUCAGGCGACCCAACGCCCUCUCCGCAGCCGUUCAUCCCCCCGCCCCGGCUGCUCGCCCGCCUCCGGGCUGGUGCGCGCCGAUGGCCGCAACCGGGGUUCGGUUCUCAGAGAUCGCGGGGGGGACAGACGUAGACCAAACCUCGCACGGAGAACGGAGAGAGAGAGAGACAGCGAGAGCAGGAACACAAGCAGGGGGAGUGGGAGAGGGAGAAGCAGGCUUCCCGCUGAACAGGAACCCGAUGCGGGGCUUGAACCCAGGACCCUGGGACCAUGACCUGAGCCGAAGGCAGACGCUUAACGACUGAGCACCCAGGCGCCGGAGGUCCUUGUGAGAUUCAAACUGGUGAAAAUUCAAGCGGUCAGAAACGGCAAAGCACUGUACAAAAGAGUAUUAUGAUUUUUAUAAUUUAUUACAUGUCUUAUAUAGUAUGCAGUGAUUUAUUAUAAUCAUGUUCUGAAUGUACACAAAGGAGUCUUAAUUUAUUAUAAUCAUCAUCUGAAUCUGGCCCUUCAGGCAUCUGUAGAUAUCUAUAAAAAUCAUUUGCUUUAUAUCUUUUGGAUUUAUAUGACAUUUAAGAAACAAUUUUCAAAGGUCACAUCUAAUUUGCUGCUUACUGCACUUUACUUAAAGCAGAAGAUUACCCCAAUUUCUGGAUUAUCCUGUGUAACACACUUGUGAAGUCAGGCGGGAGGCAGGAGUGGGCUAGCUCUGAAUUGUAUAGCAGAAGGGAGUUUGGGAGAUUUUGUUGUGAAGUUUCGUUCUUUUGUGCUGUCUUUAGUCAGCUGUUUUUUGGAACACUCAAAUGAAAACAAAUGCUUCUUGUCCUGGCAGUCAAGGGAGGCUUUUAGCAGCUCAAGUAGCCUCAUGAAGGACAUUUGUUUAUGACCAGCUGUACAUGGGGCACUGGAAAAAAUUUUGAUCCCCAAGACUCCGACCGUGUCUGUCCUAAGGAGCUCACAAUUAGUUAUUGCUAUUAAAGAUAACAGAAAUGUGAAUAAAAACACAAAAGUGGUGCCUGGGUGGCCCAGUCAUUAAGCGUCUGCCUUGGGCUUAGGUCAUGAUCCCAGAGUCCUGGGAUGAGCCCCGCAUCGGGCUCCCUGUUCGGCGGGAAGCCUGCUUCUCCCUCUCCCACUCCCCCUGCUUGUGUUCCCUCUCUGUCAAAUAAAUAAAUAAAGCUUGUGUUCCCUGUCUCUCUGUCAAAUAAAUAAAUAAAAUCUUUAAUAAAAAAAAGAACGCAAAGUGAUUUUUUUCAAGUCUCAUUUCAGUUGUCAUGGGUGUGUGUAUGGAGAAGAGUGAGAAAGGAAACAGGACCCCAGAGAGAGAAAUGUGCUGGU